CACACAAUUAUUUUCUCUCUCCUUCUUUUUCCCCAAAUAUUUCGGCCUCCCUCCCUUUUCUCUCUACUUUUUUAUUCUUUCUUCUCUCUCACUGUUUGUUCUCCUCCUCCUCACUAGCCGCGACUCCUCGCCGCCUCUGUUCCGUCGCCGCCUUAGUGCUGCGUGCCUUCCUCCACUACAAGAAAAUGCUAAAUCAACGACUGCUUAACAGCAACGAUCAGCAAAACCGUCAUUCUUACUAAAACAGCGUCCGCGGUAAGCCAUCGGUGAACACCGACUGCUUGUAAAGGAUACAACGGCGGUUUAACAGUCGUUGAAAAACAACGACAGUUUCAAGUCGUCGUUAAGUUGAUUAAUGUGCCUUUGAAAUUUUGUUUACCUAAGGCGACGGUCUUAAACGGUCGGUGAUGGAAGGAAAAAGGGGGUAACAUAAAGUGGCCCUUUUCAGCCGAGUUUAUUUCAACGCAACUUAAAAGAGAGAAGUUGCCUCUUUCAGUCGGCAAAUUGAAGAAGGCAAGAAGCGAUUGACGGCUGACCUCAUUUUCUCUCCGCCUCUUUGCCGCCGCGACAUUGCAGGCUGAAGCAGUCACAACUCCCUCCUUUUUCCUGUUCUUCAGUGUGAUCUAUUUUAGCUUGAGGCGCAUGUGGAGGCAAAGGUCGCUGCACAGAUGGAAGAGGUGGAGGCAAGGAACUCGACAACUACUUUAUUUCCCGACACCGGGAUCUAUUUUGCGUGCAUAUAUUAAAUCUAGCUUGAGGCGCAUGUGGAGGCAAAGGUCGCUGCACAGAUGGAAGAGGUGGAGGCAAGGAACUCGAGUACUACUUUAUUUCCCGACACCGGGAUCUAUUUUGCGUACAUAUAUUAAAUCUAGGUAGUUUGUCCAACUAUAGACAUUUAGUGUCUAUAUUUUAUCGGCACCUAGCUUAUUAGUUUCUAGAUUUGCCGAUAUAUAUUUUUGUAGAACCCGACUUCUACUUUAUUUCCCGACAUCGGAUCUAUUUUGUGUACAUAAGUUUAAUCUAUUUCAUGUAAUUAUAUAAGUAUCUACGCAAAUUAUUGUA